UACGGAGGGUGCAAGCGUUAAUCGGAAUUACUGGGCGUAAAGCGUGCGUAGGCGGUUCGUUAAGUCAGAUGUGAAAGCCCUGGGCUCAACCUGGGAACUGCAUUUGAAACUGGCGGACUAGAGUUUAGUAGAGGGGAGUGGAAUUUCAGGUGUAGCGGUGAAAUGCGUAGAUAUCUGAAGGAAAACCAGUGGCGAAGGCGACUCCCUGGACUAAAACUGACGCUGAGGUACGAAAGCGUGGGUAGCAAACAGG
rnacentral:rRNA from 1 species